GAUGAAGAACGUAGCGAAAUGCGAUAAGUAAUGUGAAUUGCAGAAUUCAGUGAAUCAUCGAAUCUUUGAACGCACAUUGCGCCCGCCAGUAUUCUGGCGGGCAUGCCUGUUCGAGCGUCAUUUCAACCCUCAAGCCCCAGCGGCCUGGUGUUGGGGACCGGCGACCUCGCCCGAGCCCGCCCUCCGGGGCGCGUGCCCGGUGCGUCCGCCGCCCCCGAAAUGAAUUGGCGGCCUCGUCGCGGCCUCCUCUGCGUAGUAGCACAACCUCGCAAGCGGGAGCGCGACGCGGCCACUGCCGUAAAACGCCCAACUUUUUUAGAGUUGACCUCGGAUCAGGUAGGAAUACCCGCUGAACUUAAGCAUAUCAAUAGCGGAGGA
rnacentral:misc_RNA from 1 species